ACCGGGGCACGAGCCCGUGCCCCCUGCAUUGGCAGGUGGACUCCCAACCACUGCACCACCAGGGAAGCCCGAUAUUUGCUUUUUGUUUUCUUUAAGAGACUUGCUGAUUUAGAAUUUCCAAAAUCCUAUGUUAGACUUAUGCUGAAUGACUUUGCCUCCUUAGGUUUUUCUUCACAAAACCAGCUCCUUUGGCCUAUUAAUUAGCUUGGUCGGAAAACUCUUUGUGUACGUGUGUCCUCGCUCACAUAUUAGAAUGAUGAGAUGAGAUCUCAUUCUGAUCAUAUUACAAUUAGUUUUAGACUUUCUCUGCUGUCAUCUCUUGGAAUUUUCUAAUUAAAUUUCUUUCACUUUUUGUUCUGAUGUGGUUAAUCUUAGUUUCUUUGAAUUUAGCUUAUUUAACACAUAACUGAGGACGUUAUAAAAUUUAAAAUAGCUUGUUUAGAGAGCUCUUCCUUGGAAAGGCUCUGGAUGAAUAUGUGGUAUGCUAAUACCGUGCCAGAAAGGACAAAGAAAUAUGCUUUGACAUUUGACACCUAUGGAUGAUCAUCCAAAAUCAGUUUCAUCAUCACACCCAAAAAAUGUAUUGGAAUAAAGAAUAAAUUUACCCACCAAAAGGGGCUGUAUUAGAGGGAAAUAUUCACUUCAUUUACGCUAAAUAUAUUUUGCAAAUACAAUACAGCCACUAAAUGUAGAAGCAGAAGAGUUUUUGGUUUCUACUCGGAGUUCAUUAGGAGAAUUUUUUUAUCUGUAUUUUGACUUACUCAUUUCCAUAAAUAAUUGAAUAACUACUAUCAGGGAGGGGGAAAUUUCCCCCCAUCCCUCUUGAGUUCUUUUGGCUGGUCUAAUAAUUAAAUUGACCCAAGACAUAUUAACGGGAGAAAGAAGUAAAACAAAACAAUUUAAUUUGCAUGUGUAGAAUUCUCAGAGAAAUGGGACCCCCGAAGUGACCAAAGCAAGUUGUCCAUAUAUCAUUUUUAGACAAAGAAAGAUUUAUGAAGAUUUAAGUUAUGCUAGGGAGCAAACUGAUGAAGAAGUAACAACAUUUGUUUAUAGUGUAGCUUUUUAAGCCUUGAGUUCCCUAACUCGGGUGAUAAGGACGCUUUGUAGCCUCCUGGUAUAGGGAGGAUACCUUCACCUGGGAGAUUUAUUUCUUGAUUUCAUGGGGAAGGGGGAAGUCAGAGUGUUUUUUAUAUCUUUUGUUUCCACCAGCUGUUUCUCAAGUAACUUUAAUUCAAAAUAAUCAGUAUGCCACUGUGACAUAUCUUGGGGCAGCCUGUCCUGAGCCCCAGCACUGCCAUGCUUGGUACUUUGGAGAAGGCAAAUAUGUAUAAGACAUCACUCAUAUCCUAAAGGAACUUGUGGUCUAGUAAACUACGCCUACAGGUAACUAUAAUGCAAGGCACUUUCAGACAAAGAGAAACAGAUCCCUUCCAGUCGGGCUCCUCAGGGAGGGCAGGUAAACGAAGCUGAGUGGUAAAGCUGCAAGGACACAUUUUCAGCCUUCUCCUAAUAACUGUCCAAAAUUUUAGGUGUUUGAUACAUUCGCCAUCAAGUGGGAUCUUCUAAAGUGUAAUUGCUUUUACUUUGGCAAAUUUUCUCUUAAGAUAAGUUUUAUAAGAAGUAUUUAACUGCUUCUGUAUACUGUUUAUUGUUCUCUUUGCAUUUUAACACUGCAAGAUUCACUUCUGUGAAUCUUGGACCGCAAAGUACAAUUGGUCAAUACGGGAAAUAAUCAGUAACACAUUGGGCAAUACAAACAGAAAGAUUCUAUAAGAUUUUCUCUCCAAAAAUUUGACUUAUUUAUCUGUAUUCAAAACGUCAAAUGUUUGGGCUCAUUGAUUAGAGCAGAAAAUAUUGAUGCUGCUUGUUUUCUUUACAAAGCGCUGACCUGUUGCUUUUUAAAAUCUGGUCAUGGUGAUGUGGUGGUGGUUUGUUUUCUCAUCCCAAUUCGAACGUCCAAAAGAAAAUCCAAAUCUAGCUGACACCUAAACAAUAGAAUGUUAUAUUAGUUUGUUGUCCAAAAUGGAACGCGCACAAGGCAGCCUGGCUGGCCCCAGUUUCACAGUCGACUGCCGACUUCACUUCAGAUUAUGUAAACAUGUAUUGCAAAACAGCUCUGACGGGAACCUCAUAACCUAAACACUGUUCUCUGAAAUGUAAUUUGUUGUCUUUUUAUAUAAAAGAAGAAAUUAAAUCAAAAUUAUUUUGAAGAAAAACGACUCUGGGAUUUUGUUUAAUUGAACUUUGCCAGGAAAUGCCAUUGCCUAGUAGCACUGACCCCAGGGUAGAAGGAGACAAUCUUUUGCAGGGUCAGACUUCUCAAGUGACUCUGCAUGUGUCACAUGAGGUCACUCAAGUGACCGAUGCAUGUCUCACAUGCCCUCCCUCAUGUUCUAGAUCCUAAAAAAAAAAAAAGGUAUAUGCUUUGUAUGUUAACCAAAACCUAAAAUGAUCAUCCCUUUUGGACAAUAAUACUGUGUGACUUCUCCCUCUAAGAGCAUUUCAGAAUGAAUGUGGCACUUCAGAUAAGUGUAGCCCAGUUUCUGGCAAAGAGCUUAGUAUCAUAAUCUUACAGAGCCAUUUAAGGCAAUAGAGAGCUCUAAUCUUCUGCCUGCCUUAAGUAAAAUUCCUUUUUUUCCACAAUGCCAUUUUUUAAAUAUAUUUCUCAACUCUUCUGCAAAGAUAAAAUAAGGCUGUGUCUUUUUAAAAGAUUAAAAAUUCCUCCAUUCUCCUUAUUCAUCUCAGGCCAUAAAGUACAGGGCUGGGAUAGGGAUUAGAAAGAGCACACUCUCUGCAGAUUUUUCCUCCUUUGGGUCUCUCUUGAUAUCUCAAGUAAUCCAACUGUGUUUGGUUUUAACAGACACUUAAUAUACACUUGUUUAAUCAAUCAAUUAAUGAGGCAGGAUUCCACUUUAAUGGAAAACAAUAAUUGCUACUUUUUAAGAGUUUUUCGUUUCUACUUGGAGUUCAGUACCCCCCCCCAAAAAAAAAAAAAUAGGGCCAUUCAGGUUCAGAAUUAGUCUCUCGGCCAAUUCGGCCAAUAUUUAAGUACUAACCGGAUGCCAGACUCUGUGCUAAGCACAGAGCAUCCAGUGGUGAACAAGGUGGAUGUGGCCCUGACAGCAUCCUUGCCCACCCUCUGAACUCGGGCAGCUGGUCAUUUUCCAAGAUAAAACAACUUUAAUUAUAAUCACACAAAGUUAUGUAGACAUGUGGACAAAAACUGGAAGGGGCCACAGAAGAAUAAAUGUGGGUUACCUGUUGAAGUGAUGAGACUCUAGGUGAAUCAUUUAUGUUGUUACUUUAUUAUCUGCAUGACAAGCUUUCUAAAAGGAUGUCUGUAUUAAAAGAAGGCUUGUAGAAAUUUACCUAGACUCAAGCCAUGAAGUAAAGGACCAACUUACAAAGAACUUUUGGGAUGGGGGAUAGAGGUCAUUGGUUACAGGGCAGGUCCAAGUUUAGUGGGGCCUGAAGUUAUAUAAUUUGUUCUUCCCUCUUAAGGAAAAACAUACAAAAUUAGGAAGAACCCCAUACAAGUGAGGAUCCCUUGCUUUAACGUUUUUUAGCUUUAAGGUAAAUCAUCCACACAGCUCUGGGGACGGGACUUAGAAGACUGAAGGAGGUGUAAUGAAGAAAAGUUUCAGCACUCGAAUAUGUCAAGCUUUGAGUGCCUCUGCUACCUUUAAGAACUGCAACUUUUACUAGAUCUGAGCCUUUACUUCUCAAAGAGUCUAAUUGGAUUUAGCAAAAUAGCAUGGGAUACAAAUUCAGUAAUGGUUAAUAUGGGAUCACAAUAGGACAUUUUUCUUUUUUAGAGAGGUUUUACUUGGGAAUGGGUUUUGCAGCAGGGGGGUUUCCUUUUAACUUUACAGAAAUAAUAGAGUUCAAAGAUACUGUUUGUCAAAUACCUAUUCAAUGAACCUUAGAGAUGAGGAACAUUUUAAGGGCUCUUGAUGCAGAAAACAAGCCACCAAGAGCAACAUUAGAAUAAGGUAACAUUUAUUUAUUCAUACUUCACUUUGUCCCAGAAGGGACCUAUUUUCACUACAGUAAAGUAAAAUCAACUGCAUAAUUGUCUCCUUUUUUAGAGACUAAAUUAGAACUUUAUGACACUCUUUAAGGAGAGGAAACUAUUCAAAUAAUUAUACCUUUUAUAAUUUUAUAGUUCUUUGUAGCUUAUAUUAUAGUUCUUUAUUGUAGGUAGAUAAAGCAUAAUUCAAUGAGGUAAACGUAUUGAUGAUUGUCCUAGAAUUGGAAAUGCAAAUAUAGAGUUAUCCUUCCCAGUGCUGCUAGAAUUCUCUUAAUGUAACAUGAACCUGAUUAUAUCCCUCCUCUGUAAAAUCCUGCAGUGCCCCAAUAGAAAAAUGGGCAAGGGCCUUGUAACAGACAGCUCUCAGAGGAACAACUGCAAGUUAACAUGAAGAUUUAAAAAGUUCAGAGUCGAAAUACUGAUCUGUGCUAACGAAUAAACCUCAAAAACAUGAAAGUGAAGGAAGCUACAUGCAAAAGACUAACAGUUCCAUUUAUAUGAAAUGUCUAGAAAGGGCAAAUUUAUAGGAACAGAAAGCGAAAUAGUAGUUGCCUGUGUCUGGGGGUGGGAGCAGGGACUCACUGUAUAUGGCCACGUGGAGGAGAUUUUCUAGGGUGAUAGAAAUGUUCUAAAAGUGGAUUGUGGUAAUAGUUGCACAACUAUAUAAUUACUAAAAUCAUUGAAUUGUACACUUACAUUGAAUUUUAUGAAGUGUAAAUUAUCCCUUGAAGCAGUUUUUUAAGAAGUUCAACCUCAGUAGAAAAGUAAUUUAAAAUGCUUUCUACUUGUCGAAUACUAAAAGAAUAGUAACUAUUAUUAUACACUGACAAAGGUAUGGGAAUGAACACUCAUACACAAGUGGUUGGUGUAAAAGUGUCUGUAAACUUUCUGAAGAUAAUUUGACAAUAUGCAUCAAAGCCUCAAAAUGCUCAUAUACUUUGACUCACUUCCAGAUGUAUGUCCUAAUUGGAAGGUGUGGAUAUAUAAACACAAAGAGAUAUUUAUCUCUUUACUAUUUGUAAUGGAAAAAUUAGAAACAACCUAAAUGUCCAACAAUAGGAGAUAAAUUAUAGAAUACCCAUCAAUAGAAUACUGUUUAGCUAUUUAAAAUGAUGAUGCAGGUGCCUAUAUGUAAUAAGUGUGAAAAAGAUAUUCAUAAAUAUAAGUAGAGUACAAUUAUGUAUAGAAUUUAAAAUAUUUGUGUAUAUAUAUGUAUAUAUUGGAAGUUUAUAUAACAAAUAUGAAUAUUGGGCAUCUGGGUAUUAGGACUAUUGGGUGUUUCUUUUCUCAUUUGUUUAUCUGUAUUUUCUAAAGUUUUUAAAUGUGUCAUGUUUUAUGAAAAAAAGCAAUAAAAUUUUUUUUUCUUAAAAAAGAAAAUAUCUUUCACUGACUUCUCAUGACUUUAACUAUAAGGAUCGCUUUUGAUAUAACAAAAUCCUUUGGACCCUCACACAAUAGUACUUCUGUUUUUAGUAUUUAUUGAUUUAUAAAAAUAAUGACCAAAAGCUACUAUAACUCCUAUACCACUUAUACAUAGCUUUGAAUAUAUUCUUAAAGUAUCUACAAACAUUUAAACAAGCGCCCCCCACCCCCUGCACACACACACACUCACACACACACCUUUUAGACCUAUUUAGUCUACAUUAUAAACUUUGAAACAAUUCUGUGGUCUGCAGGUUGGGAAGGACCAACCUAGAGAAUAAAAUAGAAAUGCUUUAGCUUUUUAUUUAGGCUUUUUAUUACAAUCUUUAUACCUUUCGAACCUCACACCAGUUCAUACAAAACUACUAAUUCUCUCUUAUUCCAUCUGCUUUUUGUACAUGCUGUGCCCUGAGCCUGACGUGCCCUUUUCCUUUUGUACACUUGACAAAUGUUUAUCUUUCAGGAGGUUGCUUGGAAAUCAGCCUUAACUGCCUCCCAAAUAGUUUAGGUGCCCCCUUUUCUGUGCUGUCCACUUCACACAUGCUUUUAAUGUAGCAUUUAUCACAUUGUAUUGUAAUUACUGGCUGUGUAUAUUUCACCAUCCAGAGGAGGAAGUUCACCUUUGUACCCACUGCCUCUAGCACAUUGUCUACAAUAGAAGAGGCGCCUGCAAUCUUAGUUGAAUGAGUGCACAGAGAAAGACCCAGUCCUUGCCCUUAGGGCACUCGUAGUCUAGUUAGGGAGACAUGCCUGUCUAAUAUAUGAUUAGUCCUAUAAUAAAAGAUGUGAAUGAGCACACAGAAGACUUAGUGAUUAAUUUUGACUUGGUAAUUAGGCAUUGCUUUCCAGAAUAGGGUCCAUUUGAAUUAAACUUAUUUUGACAAGUUGCAGAAAGGAGGAAUAAAAGCCUUGAGUCCCUUGUUACACUUUAGAAAUUCAUUUUGUAGAAAAAUGGAAAUGACUCACCAGCUACUCCCUGAACUUCCAGCUCUCCAGCUACCCUCAGCCCUAGCUAAGCCUGAUUCCCACUGCCCCAGCUUCCCUUUCAUCUCAUUGUCAAAAAUCACUGACAGUAAAUUUCCUUUUUAGGAUGCUGAGUUGGCACUCUAAUCUGGCAAAGAGUUUGCUUACCUGCUCAGAUACAUGUUUGGGUGGUAAGAAAAAGUGCUAUGUGAGGGCAUGGGAGAACUGAUUUCUAAUCCUGGCUUUGCCAUAGAAUCACUGAAUAGACUAGCUUUAUGACACGUUCACACUUCUUGGCCUUCAGUUUCUUCUUUGGCACAAUGGAGGUAGUUAGAAUAAUUAUACCUCUUUUACCUAAUUUAUGUAAUUAUUUAGAAGAAUAUAUAACACUAUGUAAAAACACCUUAUUAAGCUGUGAUACACUGUACAAAUGCUCAGUCUGGGGAUUAUAUCAUUACAUUCCUGAAAACACUUCAUGGAAUUGGCCAGACUCCUCCUAUUGAGGGGCUGUACAGCUUAAGAAGAGAAGCAUGGCAGUGGGUUGGGAAAAGAAAUCUUUUACAGUCAGGUGAAUGGUUUUCAAGUGAGUGUGGGUGAUAAAACAUCUGGAAAUCAUGGAAACACAAAACAUUGAUGCAUUUAAUUACAUCAUGCAAAUCAGGACUAUUUAGUCCUAGUUAGUCCUGGCUUUUCUGGCAAAACCAUGAUUAUGUUAUAUGUAUACAAAUAAAAAGUAAAGGAGAUAUCCUACUCCUCAGCUCUUUCCUCAGUCUAAGCCCAAAGUAGGGUUACUUGAGCCCUUUACUCACUGUGGUAGUCAGGGUUCUCAGAAAAAUAGAACCAAUAGGAGACAGGUAGAUAGAUGAUAGAUAGAUAGAUAGAUAGAUGGAUAGAUGGAUGGGUGGAUAGGAAGGUAUCUUAAAGAAUUGAUUUACGUGAUUGUAGAGGCUGCUAAGUCCAAAAUCUGCAGGGCAGGCUGGCAGGCUAGAGACCCAGGAAAGAGCUGAUGUUACAGGCAGUCUGCAGGCAGAAUUCCCUCUUCCUCAGGGGAUGUCAGUCUUUCUCUUAAGGCCUUCAACUGAUUGGAUGAGGCCCACCCACACUCUGCUUUACUCAGAGUCUAUUGAUUUCAGUGUUUAUCUCAUCUUAAAAGGAACUUCAGAGCAACAUCCAGCCAUGUUUGACCAAAUAAUCUGAUACCACAGCCUAGCCAAUAUGACACAAAAUUAACCAUCAUACUCACCAACUUUUAAAUCACAGCAGCAGGUUGCAAAGAGUUUCCCCCUCCCUUCCUUACCAGUUUUCCAGGAAUUUCUUAAGGCUGAAUGUCCAAUGGCGAUGCUGGGUGUGCCAUGUUAGGAGAUAGCAUGUCAUAUGAUAGCAGGUCCAGCAGACAGCAGCUCUGAAACACUGAGAGAUGAGGCCCAACUGGGACAGCUGGCAGGGACAAGCCAGUCCUGGGGCCAGGAGUGAGAGGCAGAAAGGGAUCCUCUGGUCAGGCCAUUGCUCAAGGCCCAGCAGCAAACGGUGCCUUCACAAAGCAGUUCUAAUCCUAUCCAUCGGGCCCAGCACCUCCCAGGUCACAGACUGAGCCCAAAAGGCAGCGUCAGGUUAAGUUUGAAUGAGAAACUUAGCCUGAUGCUGGUGAAACACUCAGAGGCUGUCUUUAAUUACAGUUGACUUUGUUCCCUUUUUUUCACAUUUACAGGUUGUUCUAAGGUUUUCUUUAAUUGUGUAUUAUGCAAAGGCCAAGUCUAAAUCAUCUCCGACAGCCGUGCUGCUCUGAAUCCUGAUUCGAAAUCUUGGUGAAGGUGUAUUUUGUUGUUUCUCUAAGUCCUUCUCAAGUAGUUCUCUUGGUUCCUUUGUUUCUGAUGACCUUUUGUCUAGUACCUGGAGCAUAUUAAUGCUCUAUGGUUAAUCAGAUUUAGACCGCUGCAGGAAUUGUGUUAGUUUAUCAAGUUAGCUCAAGGGGAUUCUCUGCGGAAAAAAAAGCUAAGGUUUGCAGAGGUUCCAGUAGUUCUCAACCCUGACCGACUUCACUGGGCUCAAUACUGUACCAAAAGCAGCCAAACCUAUUUCCCCAGCACUACUCAACAGUUUGGAAAUUGCCAGUUGUUACUCUCUAAGUGUUUUGGUUACUGCUUUAUCCUUAACACCUGUUACUUUGUCACACGGCAGAUGGAUGCUCAGGAAAUACUUGUUGAUGGAAUGAACAGGAUACCUGGUAGAAUAAUUUGUUGUAACAAAUCAAACUACAAACAAAAUAGAAGAAAGUAUGAGUGAAUGCUUCUCUUGGCUGUGUAUGGAUAAAAACUAUCUUAAGUUUACGAGCCAUGGAGGAAAUCAUCUGGAAAAAAAGAUGGAUUUUCUAAUAUUCACCUUUCUUCAAAAUGAUCCUGAAAGAUGAGUCAGAAGUCCCAUAACUGCUUUCCAUAGGGGGAAGCUGGGGCCCAGAAAGGUUAAGCAAAUUCCCUACCAGGGCAUCAGAGGAACUCUAGGUUCUCAAGUGGUUAUGGAAAUCUAGUCAAAAUGGAAUGAAACUUCUGCUUCCUUAGGUUAUCUUUCCUGUUUGUUUAAAAUUAGAUCCUUUCUAUUUUAUCAGUUCCUAGGAGAUUGUUGUUGACACAUGUAAAUUUGGAGUCCCCUCUAAUUGGAACCAGUUUUCUCCAGGACGCCCCAGUCAUUGGUUAUGAGACCUCUCCUCCUCAUAUAAACAUAGCCCUCAGGACUUGCCUGGUGGUCCGGUGGGUAAGACUCCAAGCUCCCAAUGCAGGGGGCUUGGGUUCGAUCCCUGGUUGGGGAACUAGAUCUCAGCAUGCAUGCUGCAACUAAGACCUGGCACAGCCUAAAUAAAUAAGUAAAUAAAUAUUAAAAAGAAAAGAAACCUAGCCUUUUAAAAAUAAUAAAAAUAAAAAAAUACAGCCCUCUUCUGGCCAAGCAGGCCAUUGCUGAUCAAUGUCACCAAUAUUACCCAGAGGAUGUAGAGUGACCCGUUUAAUUGCUGGCCCUGGAGUGUAUUGUCUAUGAAACCCAUGUAUUCAGGGGUUUUUCACUUAGUAAAGCUGUUUGAACAUAUUUACUCUCAGAGUUUUAUUAUUUACUUUUAGAUUCCAAGAUAUUUUGAUCAUCUGAAUUGAGAAAGAAAGAUUUAACCUUGAGAAAGGAGAAAAAGUAGAGAGGGAGUUACGGGUUUUGUGAAUUUUAGAUUUUCCCAGGGAAAAAGUUGAAAAGGGGACAAUUCUAUUUUUAGGCGCACAAAAUUCUUGAGCCAUAUGAUGUACUUCCGUUUUCAUAGAGUGAAGUUAGAAGGACUCUAAGAGAUUUUUUUUGUCCAACCUCUCCACCUUACAGAUGAAGAAAUUGAAUUCAAGCUUGCAGGAUCUCAGUUCCCUGACCAGGGAUUGAACCCGGGCCAUGGUAGUGAAAGCGCUGAAUCCUAACCACCGGACGACCAGGGAACUCCCCGAAUUUAGGUUUUUAAAAUAAUUUUGAUCUUUUACAUUUAGCUCAUUGAUCUAUCUGAAAUGUGAUUUCCUGUGUUAUGUGAGAUGGGGGUCUAACUUCCUCAUUUUGUCAAUAUUGAGUAUGAGAGGAGGAGCAGAGCACUAGGUGUGGGAAGAGAAAGGAAGGCAGCUAAAGGCAGCCACCAGGUUAUACAAUCCACUCAACAAAAUAAAAGCCCUCAGCUUACCAGACCUGACCCCUGUGGAUACCUUAGAAGGCCAGUUAGGGACCACGUAGAAGGGUUGCAUCAUGUUUGCAUUUGGGGGUUUAACUGUACAGGCUUUUAAGCUUCUGAGGGCCCAGAUACUAGCAACUUUAGGACAUUUUAAGAGACUUUUUUUUUUUUUUUUUUGCGGGGUACACAGGCCUCACUGU